UCCUGGUUCAAUAAUGGAUUUAAUAUUCUCGAUGACCGCUUGUCGCUUGCUGGCAUGAUGGCGUAUGCGCGGCUAGUGCUCGCCGGAUGGGGUGGUUCUUUGCGCAAGCGAAUCAAACACAGGAACAAAAAGUUUUACAUGCCAGUCUAGAAAAGUAAAGGGGAUGUCUGGCCCGAAAGAGAAACAGCAACUAAACUAACUAAUAUGUCUAAUGAUAAAAAGGAAGCACCACACCUACCUGCCGGAAUGCCUUCUCGUCUGGUGUUCCGACGAGGAAUAGCCCUCCCUCUGGAGCAGGAGCUCCACCAUAGCAACAAAGGAAACCUGUUGCCCCGUACCUACCUCUUCAUCUUACUAUCCCCCUCCUAUCCCCUCCUUAAGAUCUACACGAUCUUAGUAAAAGACAUCAUUUUUUUUCAAGAACGUUAUAAACAUUUCAAGUUGGUUUUAUUUCCUAAAGCAAUCCAUAAUGGCCUCAUCAAAGUUCAAAAAUUCACAUUCUUUAAACAUUGAUUAAAAGGGUAAAACUAGUCACGACGUUACUGCAAUUCAAUAGACUUUAGCUUAAAAAAAAACAAUGUAAAAGAAACUGAUACAUAUACUAAUAUUUAUGGGUACAUGGCUAGAUUUAAUCGGAUUUAAUGGCCUCUCAUCGCUUCCUCUUCUUCUUUCAGGGCUCCUGCCGCCGAACAUGGGUCUGCCCCCGCUGGAAGCUUACGUGCUGUCCGUCCGUCUAUGUCCGUCCAAAUCUUGUAAUAGUAUUGUGCCAUUAUCUCACGCCUGAAAGGAUGGCAGUCGGGUUGAUUUGGCUGGGACAAACAUCCCUACGGAAACUCCCUACCUGGCUAGAAAGAGCUCUAUCUAUGGGGUAUGGAACUAGACCAACCAAAGCUAGACUUGGUCUUUUAAAAGAUAAGUAUAAACCAAAUAUAAUAAAAAUGCCUACCUAACAAAACUAAUUUAUUCUCUUCUAUUUUUAGAUAAUUUAUUCGUCCGUCCGUCCGUCCGUCAAUGUGUGGAGUAUAGGAGUAAGUCUAGGUAAGCUAUCACCUGGGGACACUGCUGAAUGUGAGUGCCUUGUUCUGGAAGUCCCACGAUGGCGCAGAAAGGAUGAGCCGGUGGUGAGCAAGCUGAGCGGUUGUUUUAAUCGUCUUUUUUUUCCAAUUGAUUUUAGUUUAUAAUUAGUUCGUAAUGUAGUUCUUUUUUUUUUUUGUUUUAAUAAUAACAGCUUUUUAUUCAGUUUCUUUUGCUUUAAAAGAUUAGCUAUUAAGUUGGUUUUUAAGCGUAGCUUUUAAUGCAAUUUCUAAUUCAAUAGUUGGUAGUUUAGUUUUAAAGAUAAUUUGGUUUUCCUCUUUCUUGUUGAUUAGUUUUUGAAAGUUCUUUGGUUUUCUUUUUUUUUCAAUAAAGAAAUAGAAACAGUU